UACGUAGGUGGCAAGCGUUAUCCGGAAUUAUUGGGCGUAAAGAGUGAGCAGGCGGCUAAUUAAGUCUGAAGUCAAAUCGUGGGGCUCAACCCCAUUUCGCUUUGGAAACUGAUUGGCUAGAGUACGGGAGAAGUGAAGGGAACUCCAUGUGUAGCGGUGAAAUGCGUAGAUAUAUGGAAGAACACCAGUGGCGAAGGCGCUUCACUAGCCCGAAACUGACGCUCAGUCACGAAAGCGUGGGUAGC
rnacentral:rRNA from 1 species